rnacentral:rRNA from 1 species
CUUGCUCUUCUUGGAUGAGUUGCGAACGGGUGAGUAACGCGUAGGUAACCUGCCUUGUACUGGGGGACAACAGUUGGAAACGACUGCUAAUACCGCAUAAGCGCACAGCUUCGCAUGAAGCAGUGUGAAAAACUCCGGUGGUACAAGAUGGACCCGCGUCUGAUUAGCUGGUUGGUGAGGUAACGGCCCACCAAGGCGACGAUCAGUAGCCGGCCUGAGAGGGUGAACGGCCACAUUGGGACUGAGACACGGCCCAAACUCCUACGGGAGGCAGCAGUGGGGAAUAUUGCACAAUGGGGGAAACCCUGAUGCAGCAACGCCGCGUGAGUGAAGAAGUAUUUCGGUAUGUAAAGCUCUAUCAGCAGGGAAGAAAAUGACGGUACCUGACUAAGAAGCCCCGGCUAACUACGUGCCAGCAGCCGCGGUAAUACGUAGGGGGCAAGCGUUAUCCGGAAUUACUGGGUGUAAAGGGAGCGCAGGCGGGAGAACAAGUUGGAAGUGAAAUCCAUGGGCUCAACCCAUGAACUGCUUUCAAAACUGUUUUUCUUGAGUAGUGCAGAGGUAGGCGGAAUUCCCGGUGUAGCGGUGGAAUGCGUA